rnacentral:rRNA from 1 species
AGUCAAGUAAUUAAGUGCAUGUGGUGGAUGCCUUGGCAGUCAGAGGCGAUGAAAGACGUGAUAGCCUGCGAAAAGCUCCGGGGAGGCGGCAAAUAUCCUUUGAUCCGGAGAUGUCUGAAUGGGGGAACCCACCUACUUUAAGGUAGGUAUUGCAACAUGAAUACAUAGUGUUGCAAGGCGAACGAGGGGAAGUGAAACAUCUCAGUACCCUUAGGAAAAGAAAUCAAUUGAGAUUCCCUCAGUAGCGGCGAGCGAACGGGGAUCAGCCCAUUAAGUUAUGUGUGUUUUAGUGGAACGCUCUGGGAAGUGCGAACGUAGAGGGUGAUAUUCCCGUACACGAAAGGGCACACAUAAUGAUGACGAGUAGGGCGAGGCACGUGAAACCUUGUCUGAAUAUGGGGGGACCAUCCUCCAAGGCUAAAUACUCCUGACUGACCGAUAGUGAACCAGUACCGUGAGGGAAAGGCGAAAAGAACCCCUGUGAGGGGAGUGAAAUAGAUCCUGAAACCGCAUGCAUACAAGCAGUGGGAGCACCUUCGUGGUGUGACUGCGUACCUUUUGUAUAAUGGGUCAGCGACUUAUAUUCAGUAGCGAGGUUAACCGUAUAGGGGAGCCGUAGAGAAAUCGAGUCUUAAUAGGGCGUUUAGUUGCU